rnacentral:tRNA from 1 species
CUCCCUGUGGCUCAGUUGGUAGAGCAUGGUGUUUGCAAUGCCAGGGUUGUGGGUUCGAUUCCUAUGGUGGGGG